rnacentral:rRNA from 1 species
GGACUACCCGGGUAUCUAAUCCCGUUUGCUCCCCUGGCUUUCGUGUCUCAGUGUCAGCACAACCCCAGCUAUCUGUUUUCACCAUUGGCGUUCCAAGUGAUAUCUACGCAUUUCACCGCUCCACCACUUGUUCCGAUAGCCCCUAGUUGGCUCAAGAAACGCAGUAUACCAAGCAGUUCCACGGUUAAGCCGUGGGAUUUCACAAGGUACUUACGCUUCCACCUACACACGCUUUAAGCCCAGUGAUUCCGCCUAACGCUUGGCACCUCUGUCUUACCGCGGCUGCUGGCAC